rnacentral:rRNA from 1 species
AGUGAACGCUGGCGGUAGGCCUAACACAUGCAAGUCGAACGGCAGCACAGUAAGAGCUUGCUCUUACGGGUGGCGAGUGGCGGACGGGUGAGGAAUACAUCGGAAUCUACUUUUUCGUGGGGGAUAACGUAGGGAAACUUACGCUAAUACCGCAUAAGACCUACGGGUGAAAGCAGGGGAUCUUCGGACCUUGCGCGAUUGAAUGAGCCGAUGUCGGAUUAGCUAGUUGGCGGGGUAAAGGCCCACCAAGGCGACGAUCCGUAGCUGGUCUGAGAGGAUGAUCAGCCACACUGGAACUGAGGCACGGUCCAGACUCCUACGGGAGGCAGCAGUGGGGAAUAUUGGACAAUGGGCGCAAGCCUGAUCCAGCCAUACCGCGUGGGUGAAGAAGGCCUUCGGGUUGUAAAGCCCUUUUGUUGGGAAAGAAAAGCAGCAGGUUAAUACCCCGCUGUUCUGACGGUACCCAAAGAAUAAGCACCGGCUAACUUCGUG